rnacentral:lncRNA from 1 species
AAAAGCGUGGGUUGCCUCCCACGGAGCGCUUCGUUUAACGUUGCCUGGCUUGACGGUAGUUCAUCUUAUCAGACAAGAUGAACAACAUCAAUUUGACCAAUUUCUUGCUCCACAUUUUAAGGUUUUAACCUUUGUUCAUUCACUUUAAUAAUGUCCCCAUUGGAUUGAUUUUUUAUUUCAAUUGCUCCAUGGGCAUAUACCUUGUGUAUCAUAA